rnacentral:rRNA from 1 species
UGAAUACGAGAUGCUACGGCGUCGAAGCAGUGUAUGUCAGACUUCCAAGAAAAGCUCGCAAUGUCAUAAAUAAAGAAUGCCUGUACCAUAACCGACACAGGUGGGUAGGUAGAGUAUACUAAGGGGCGCGAGAUAACUCUCUCUAAGGAACUCGGCAAAAUAACUCCGUAACUUCGGGAGAAGGAGUGCCUUCUAUUAGAAGGUUGCAAUAACAAGAUCCAAGAAACCGUUUAUCAAAAACACAGGUCUCCGCUAAGUCGUAAGACGAUGUAUGGGGGCUGACGCCUGCCCAGUGCCAGAAGGUUAAAGAAGUUGGUUAGCUUUGGCGAAGCUGAUGACUGAAGCCCUGGUGAACGGCGGCCGUAACAAUAACGGUCCUAAGGUAGCGAAAUUCCUUGUCGGGUAAGUUCCGACCCGCACGAAAGGCGUAAUGAUUUGGAUACUGUCUCGGAGAGGGACUCGGUGAAAUAGACUUGUCUGUGAAGAUGCGGACUACCUGCACCAGGACAGAAAGACCCUAUGAAGCUUUACUGUAACUUGAAAUUGAAAUUGGACUUUAUUUGCGCAGCAUAGGUGGAAGGCGUUGAGAUUACUCUUGCGGGAGUACUGGAGCCAUCAGUGAGAUACCACUCCUAUAAUGUUAGAUUUCUAACUUUGGAUCAUGAUCUGGUCAAAGAACAGUUUCAGGCGGGCAGUUUGACUGGGGCGGUCGCCUCCCAAAUGGUAACGGAGGCGUACAAAGGUUUCCUCUGAACGGGUAGAAAUCGUAUCUAGAGUGUAAAGGCAUAAGGAAGCUUGACUGUGAGACCUACAAGUCGAGCAGGGACGAAAGUCGGUCUUAGUGAUCUGACGGUGCUGAGUGGAAAGGCCGUCACUCAACGGAUAAAAGUUACUCUAGGAUAACAGGCUGAUCUCCCCCAAGAGUUCACAUCGACGGGGAGGUUUGGCACCUCGAUGUCGGCUCAUCGCAUCCUGGGGCGGUAGUACGUCCCAAGGGUUGGGCUGUUCGCCCAUGAAAGCGGUACGCGAGCUGGGUUCAGAACGUCGUGAGACAGUUCGGUCCAUAUCCGGUGUAGGCGUUAGAAUAUUGAGAGGAGCCUUCUUUAGUACGAGAGGACCGAGAAGGACAUACCUCUGGUGUACCAGUUAUCGUGCCAACGGUAAACGCUGGGUAGCUAUGUAUGGAGAGGAUAACCGCUGAAAGCAUCUAAGUGGGAAGCCCACCUCAAGAUGAGUAUUCUCA